rnacentral:rRNA from 1 species
GAAACCAACAGGGAUUGCCCCAGUAACGGCGAGUGAAGCGGCAACAGCUCAAAUUUGUAAUCUGGCGCAAGCCCGAGUUGUAAUUUGCAAGAGGAUGCUUCGACCCAUCUAAGUCUAGGCCUAAGUGCCCUGGAAAGGGACGCCGUGGAGGGUGAUAGCCCCGUCACUGGCCGUCCGACGUGGGAUCCAGGAAGCUCCCUCGACGAGUCGAGUUGUUUGGGAAUGCAGCUCCAAAGCGGGAGGUAAAUUCCUUCCAAAGCUAAAUACCGGCCAAGGACCGAUAGCGCACAAGUAGAGUGAUCGAAAGAUGAAAAGCACUUUGGAAAGAGAGUCAAAAAGUACGUGAAACUGUUGAGAGGGAAGCGUUUGCGGUCAGACGCGCGGGGGGGCGGGCUCACCCCUGCCCUCGCGGUAGGGGCACACUCCCUCCCCCCGCGAGCCAGCAUCGGCUUGGACGGCGGCAGGAGCCGGCUGGGAAUGUUACUCCUCUGGAGUGUUAUAGCCCGGUCGGACCAUACCGGCCGCCUGUCUGGGCCGAGGCCAGGCGCGCCUCGCCUCCCGGUGGGGCGCCCCGAUGUUGGCGUAAUGGCCGUAAGCGGCCCGUCUUGAAACACGGACCAAGGAGUCCAACGUCCGCGCGAGUGUGUGGGUGUCAAGCCCGCGCGCGAAAUGAAGGUGAACGAAGGUGGGAAGCCUCCGGCCUGGGUCCCCCUCCGGGGGUGUGCCUGGACGGUGGCCGC